UCGGGCGAUAUGACAGUAUAAACAGUGGCUGGCCUUAUGCGUCAAUGGUUUCAAACAAGAACAGCUGAUUGCGCUGCUGGGCUUAUAAACCUGUGUGCGCAACAUGAACACCAAAAGGACCCAGCUGUUCCUGCUUCAGUGGACAUGAUUCUCAAACUGGCUCGGUCAAAAGGCAGGAUGCGCCUGUCGUAACGACAGAGGGGAAAUUCCUUUAAGGCAUUCUAAGGAGAUUCACCACAAACAAAAUUAAAGCAAAAAUAAAAUAAUUGGACAAUUU